rnacentral:rRNA from 1 species
AUGAAUUAGAAAGAAAGAGAUCAGGUUAUUUAUGAUCGGAGAAAAGGAAGGGGCGUGGUUGUUGUGUCACUGGGAACCCGUAGGAAGGGGAGACGACCAGCCUCAUUCACAUCUGAAAUCGCCAACAUGAACACAAACAAAAUCGUCGAAUUUCGUAUAGAAAGAAAAAAAGGAAACAAGUAA